GUGGGGAAUAUUGCGCAAUGGGGGCAACCCUGACGCAGCGACGCCGCGUGAGCGAUGAAGGCCUUCGGGUCGUAAAGCUCUUUCAGGUGGGAAGAACCCUCCGACGGUGAAAGCCGUCGGAGCUGACGGUACCACCAGAAGAAGCACCGGCUAACUCCGUGCCAGCAGCCGCGGUAACACGGAGGGUGCGAGCGUUGUUCGGAAUCACUGGGCGUAAAGGGCGUGUAGGCGGCUUGGUAAGUCGGAAGUGAAAUCCGAUGGCUCAACCAUCGAACUGCUUUCGAUACUGCCUGGCUUGAGUACGGGAGAGGAGAGCGGAAUUCCCAGUGUAGAGGUGAAAUUCGUAGAUAUUGGGAAGAACACCAGUGGCGAAGGCGGCUCUCUGGACCGAUACUGACGCUGAGACGCGAAAGCGUGGGGAGCAAACAGGAUUAGAAACCCCAGUAGUCC
rnacentral:rRNA from 1 species